UUUUUGACCUUCUCCAAAAGCAUCGACACUAAAAAUAUGACAACCAUUUAAAAGUUUAUCAAUAAUUGUAAUUUUAUUUUUCCCCCGCUUGAUUGUUUCAGAUCCUGAAAAUUCUAAGCGCGGUGUCAAUAGCAGUUAGAGCAACGUUAUUGGAAGGUAGUUCGAGUAGAGGACAAAAGUGCGUUGGAAAUGGAGAGAAAUUAAAAUAUCUUUGGGGCGACGCCCUUACCGACACUUCAAAUUGUGUAGGACCAAAUAAUGCUCCGUAUCCAUAUUCAAUAAUUUCAAAAACUUUUAGAAGAAAUCAAAUGUCAAGAAUGGGGCGAUCAUUCAAUGCUGUAGAUCCAUUGCUGACGAGUAGGAGUUUAUUAAAAAAUUAUGAAUUGAAUAACCAAUUACAAGAGGACGUCACGAUAAGUCGUUCAAGUAAGUAUUGAUGGGCUCUCUUUCCGUUUUGAAAACUUUUCCAUUCCACCCUCAAAUGACCUAACACAAAAGCUUCAUAUUUUUUAGCAACCGUGGACCGGAGCUUUCAGCAGGCAUUACAACGGAGUAUAAUUUGCCUUCAAUCCAAUGCGGCGCAACACGCAUUACAGUCGUGUUGAAAUAGAUUACCACGCGCCUGAAUCUUCUGAUCACUAACAUUCCGAGGAGAAAAAUGUCGAUGUCUAAAGAUUCUCCGUCUGCAACGUUGCAGACCGCGAGCGUGGCGUUGCGGGAUUUACUCCCAUGAAUAUAAUAUAAAAUUGAGAAAUUAAUUUAUAAUUAUUUGAAGUAAAGUAAAAGGAAAUCAAUUACUAAAUCCAUCCAUAAAAGCAAAAAUAAUUCCAACUUUAGUUGGAACUAACUCGGUGACGUACAUUAUUUUCGUUUUUGGAAAACUGGUCAACGUAAUUUCUUAAAAAUCCUUGGCUGUUCCUCUCUGUUGACAGAAUAUUCUCUAUUUUCAAGCCAUGAACUGUGUUUAUUUGUCUGCAAAAAAAUAAAAUAGGAGCGGAAAUUUUGAAACAUUACAAUAGAGGUACGUGGUGUCGCAUUUUGGCCAUCAAUAUGACAAAUGUUUUACUCUACUCUGUUGUACUCUGCGAACCUAACCUAAUGGAAGAUUAACAGUGAAUUACGUUCAG
rnacentral:lncRNA from 1 species